GUUGUGUGCCAGCUCAGCCAGUAGAGCAUGAGACGCUUAAUCUCAGGUUGUGGGUUCGAGUCCUACCCUGGGAACUCGACA